GUCGACGCUUCUUUUUCCCCGGAGCUUGCUCCACCGGAAAAAGAAGAGUGGCGAACGGGUGAGUAACACGUGGGUAACCUGCCCAUCAGAAGGGGAUAACACUUGGAAACAGGUGCUAAUACCGUAUAACAAUCAAAACCGCAUGGUUUUGAUUUGAAAGGCGCUUUCGGGUGUCGCUGAUGGAUGGACCCGCGGUGCAUUAGCUAGUUGGUGAGGUAACGGCUCACCAAGGCCACGAUGCAUAGCCGACCUGAGAGGGUGAUCGGCCACAUUGGGACUGAGACACGGCCCAAACUCCUACGGGAGGCAGCAGUAGGGAAUCUUCGGCAAUGGACGAAAGUCUGACCGAGCAACGCCGCGUGAGUGAAGAAGGUUUUCGGAUCGUAAAACUCUGUUGUUAGAGAAGAACAAGGAUGAGAGUAACUGUUCAUCCCUUGACGGUAUCUAACCAGAAAGCCACGGCUAACUACGUGCCAGCAGCCGCGGUAAUACGUAGGUGGCAAGCGUUGUCCGGAUUUAUUGGGCGUAAAGCGAGCGCAGGCGGUUUCUUAAGUCUGAUGUGAAAGCCCCCGGCUCAACCGGGGAGGGUCAUUGGAAACUGGGAGACUUGAGUGCAGAAGAGGAGAGUGGAAUUCCAUGUGUAGCGGUGAAAUGCGUAGAUAUAUGGAGGAACACCAGUGGCGAAGGCGGCUCUCUGGUCUGUAACUGACGCUGAGGCUCGAAAGCGUGGGGAGCAAACAGGAUUAGAUACCCUGGUAGUCCACGCCGUAAACGAUGAGUGCUAAGUGUUGGAGGGUUUCCGCCCUUCAGUGCUGCAGCUAACGCAUUAAGCACUCCGCCUGGGGAGUACGACCGCAAGGUUGAAACUCAAAGGAAUUGACGGGGGCCCGCACAAGCGGUGGAGCAUGUGGUUUAAUUCGAAGCAACGCGAAGAACCUUACCAGGUCUUGACAUCCUUUGACCACUCUAGAGAUAGAGCUUCCCCUUCGGGGGCAAAGUGACAGGUGGUGCAUGGUUGUCG
rnacentral:rRNA from 1 species